GCGCCAGGAAACCGACAAACCCCUCCGCAAGAGUUUUGGGAGCGAGGAGGGGUGGGAGGAAUAAAUAAGAAGGAGUUGUGCACCAGGAAGUCAAAAUGAGUAACACCUAACAGAGUGACGAAGCAGAAUUUCCAGAGUACAGCUGUGAGAAGCAUCAACACCAGUAACUUGAAGAAUCAUGUAUUAUUUGUUUUUUUUUUUCCUAUUCUGGCUAGUCAGUGAUUAUGAAUGAGUAACAAGAAGGCUGAUUUGCGUGAGAAAUACCCUUAGGAUAAUGCAGCAUUUUGUUUCACAAGUUUUUAGGUUCAAAAAUCCUGGUAAAGUUGUUUUCCAUAGCUUUCCACUGUCCUGCACCUCUGAAUUCCUGACACUGCAAAGCUGUGGAAAUGUGAAAAUGUCACAAAUGAGACAGUUCUUCAUGGGCUUUACCUAGACAGAAGUGGUAAAACGUGAUAAUCUUUCAAUAUUUAUCAUGCACAUUAUAAAUAAUUUUAUAAGAUUGUGUCUUUCAGGUAGGGUGACAGAUGAGGCCUCCUCAGUUGAAUAAUUUGCCCCUGGCAUGUGCUCGAACACAGACAAACAGGAUGUUUUAUCCCCAAUUUAUGGAUAGAAAAAUUGAGGCAAGGAAGUGAAGGCAUUUAUUUUCUAAGUGUAGAAGUGCUCAUUUGUAAGCAGGCAAUUUAGGCUUGAACUUUUUCCCCCCCUUUUUUUUUGACGAAAAGGACCGUGUAUAUACAGUUCCCAUUGAAACUACACUUGAGGCACCCAAGCAGAAAGACUUUGGCCAUACUCUUUUGGGGUCCUGCAGCCCUAAUCCCAUGUUCUAAUUGGCCAGUAAUCUGUGGACAGAUAUUGUAACAGUUCCUUUAGAAUAUUUUUCUACUUCUCACUCAUUUGCAUACUAAUGGCAUAAAAAUAGGCACUUCCUGCCAGUAAUUAGUUGGAGCCCAGAAUUUAAAGAAAGAAAAACACCACAGCAUUAUGGUAGAUGGAUGGUACUGAGGAAGCUGCAAAAAAGAGUCACUUCUCUGGUGCUCAGAAAGUGCCUUUAAUUUAGAGUUCAAGGCUGGCAACUCUGUUACCUCUGUGUGACAGGGAUUAACUGUUUGCGUGGCCUAAUAACUUUGCUUCUAAUGAGCCCGUCUAACUUUUUUCAUGGCAAAUCACUCAACCUGUCCUGCACCCAGGCUCGCUGCUGGGAAACGUGUUUUUCUCUUUUUUGCCUUUUUUUUUUUUUGCCUUUCAUAGGAUCAUGGAACAGUUUGGGUCAUAAAGGACGUUUAAGAUCAACCAAGUAACUUCAGUGAGACGAAGUACACGGCAACUGAUGAGCACGGAGCAUCUGUGGCAAAGGAAAAAAACACCGUCUUCAAAUUUUGAGGAGCAAACACGACCCUUUCUUUUUCUACUGUUUUCCACCCACAUUCAGUUAGUGUGAGAGAAGAAAGAAAAUCUAAAAAAAAAAAAAAAAAGCAGAAAUAUUUUCUUUGCAGGGAAGGACCGAAGAAUGUAUUGUUCUCUCAUUCACAAGCAAGUGCUUUCAUCACCUCUGCUUUCAUUUUGCUCUACAUCAUAAGUGACAGCGAGUUUUCUGUAUUUUGCUGGUAUAACUUAGAAGGGGUCAUGAUUCUAAAAGUUCUCCUGCAGAACUGAGUCUUCUUUUUGGAUGUAUGCAAAUUCUACAGCACUUAUGCCACUUGUACUUUGCAGAUAGGUAUAAGCAUAUGCAAAAAUGGAGAUUAUAUGUGUACAUGCAAGUUCUCAGAAUUAAUCAGCCAAGAAUGUACAAAAACUACAAAUGCUUUGCUGAAAUUUGGCUCAAAAUAGAUUUAUGAAUUAGCCUGCUAUAGCAGCUUUCACUCAAGGUUGCUAAAUACACUCCAUUUUUAUAAAUACUUAAUAACUUAAAAGAUUUGCAUUAUGAUGGGGCUUGGAGCAACCUGAUCUAGUGGAAGGUGUCUCUUCUCAUGGCAGUAGCAUUGAAAGAAGAUGGUAUUUAAGCUUCCUUUUAACUGAAACUAUUCUAUGAUUCUAUGAUAAUACUAUUGCACCAAAAAUAAUUUUAACAGUAUAUCCCAGUCUUGGGAGGGCCUGAUGGUACUUCUAUCUGUUCAAAAUUGCUGUAGUGGUGUUUUAUGGGUAUACAUUGCUGUCAGCCUGGAGCCCUACCAGGAUUAGAUCUUAAUCCUCAAAGAUAUGUAAGUGCUACCACCUCCUUUUUAGAGAUUGAAAACAGGAAACUGCAUGGGUUAAUAACCAAGGAAAUAAUUAAAAUUUAGGCUCCAAACUUGUCGAGCACAGUCACAAACCGUUCUUGGAGUCAUCUUCAUAUUAGUAGUUGAUGUAAAUAUUUUUGAAGACAAAUCAAAGCCCUGGACCUGCCUGAGUCCUGUGUUUCAGCUUAUGGCCAGGGUUACAGAAGAGAUCCCUGAAACACAUCUGAUUGCUGAUUACAGAUCUGAUAACUGAUUACUUCUGUUAAUAUGAACUGAAGCAAAGGGUCCUUGAACAUUUCUCACAAUUCAGCAAGCAAAAAAAAAAAGCAAUGUUUUACUUCAGUCUACCUUUUACUAGAGUUAAGUACAAUAGGAUGUGAUUAUUUUAGGAACAUUAAAAAUAUCUACUAUCUUCCUCCCAUGCUAGGUAGAAUAGUAGUCUGAAGUAGUUUUGCUUUGUAAUUUUCUAAAACGAAGAAUUCUGACUUAACCAAACCUCUUCAGAAGGAAGCUGGCUGAUAUUAUCUUACUUCCCUCUUUUCUUAUUGUGGAAUUGUUGAGAGAAUGCCAGUUGUUGCUACUUGUCAUCACAACUUUCUAGUCCAUAUUAUUGCUCGUUAGAGGCAAUAAAUGUUAAAUACCAGACUACUUAAAACUGACCAGUGUGCAGAAUUUGAGUGCAUAGGUAAUAAA